rnacentral:rRNA from 1 species
GAGACAGCAGUAGCCACGGUAAUACAGAGGGUGCGAGCGUUAAUCGGAUUUACUGGGCGUAAAGCGUGCGUAGGCGGCUUCUUAAGUCGGAUGUGAAAUCCCUGAGCUUAACUUAGGAAUUGCAUUCGAUACUGGGAAGCUAGAGUAUGGGAGAGGAUGGUAGAAUUCCAGGUGUAGCGGUGAAAUGCGUAGAGAUCUGGAGGAAUACCGAUGGCGAAGGCAGCCAUCUGGCCUAAUACUGACGCUGAGGUACGAAAGCAUGGGGAGCAAACAGGAUUAGAUACCCGUGUAGUCCCUGUCUCUUAUAA